GGUGAGCGAGAGAGAUGGGACACGAGGACGAGACUGCUGAGCUGUGCAGCGUCAGAGUCUGUGUUAAGACUAUUAUAGUAUUACACACGAAUGAAAAGACGAAGCUUUUUGCAAUUGAAAUUGCUGUUUAUUAUCCAAGUUCUAAUCUGGAAUUAGUUGAGCUGAAGUGUCCCACCUGUCUGGACUCGGGGCCAUCAUAUUGUUGUCCCAAACUGAUGCAUUGAGAUCGGUCAGGUUUUUUUUGUUACGCUGGAUCGUUCCUGAGGUGGAUUCCUCAAGAGACUGAUGGCGAGCCUUCCCACCUG